GAGGCGGAGCGAAUCCCCAAAACGGACGUCUCAGUUCGGAUUGCAGGCUGCAACUCGCCUGUAUGAGGUCGGAAUUGCUAGUAAUCGUGGAUCAGCAUGCCACGGUGAAUACGUUCCCGGGCCUUGUACACACCGCCCGUCACACCAUGAGAGUUGGGGAUACCCAAAGCCCGUGAGCCAACUGUAAAGAGGCAGCGGUCUAAGGUAGAAUCAAUGAUUGGGGUGAAGUCGUAACAAGGUACC
rnacentral:rRNA from 1 species